AUGAAAAGCACUUUGGAAAGAGAGUUAAACAGUACGUGAAAUUGUUGAAAGGGAAGCGCUUGCAACCAGACUUGGGCGCUGCUGAUCACCCCGAGUUCUCUCGGGUGCACUCGACAGCGCACAGGCCAGCAUCGGUUCGGGUGGUUGGAUAAAGGCCGUGGAAAUGUAGCUCCUCUCGGGGAGUGUUAUAGUCCACGGUGCCAUGCAGCCCAGCCGGACCGAGGACCGCGCCUUCGGGCUAGGAUGCUGGCGUAAUGGUUGUAAGCGACCCGUCUUGAAACACGGACCAAGGAGUCUAACAUCUAUGCGAGUGUUUGGGCGUUAAACCCAUACGCGGAAUGAAAGUGAACGUAGGUGAGAACCCCUUUGGGGCGCAUCAUCGACCGAUCCUGAUGUCUUCGGAUGGAUUUGAGUAAGAGCAUAGC
rnacentral:rRNA from 1 species